CCUACGGGUGGCAGCAGUGGGGAAUAUUGCGCAAUGGGCGAAAGCCUGACGCAGCGACGCCGCGUGAGGGAUGAAGGUCUUCGGAUUGUAAACCUCUGUCAGCAGGGAAGAACGGUCACUGUGCUAAUCAGCAGUGAAUUGACGGUACCUGAAAAGGAAGCACCGGCUAACUCCGUGCCAGCAGCCGCGGUAAUACGGAGGGUGCGAGCGUUAAUCGGAAUUAUUGGGCGUAAAGGGCGCGUAGGCGGUAUGUCAAGUCAAGGGUGAAAUCCCCGCGCUCAACGUGGGAACUGCCUUUGAAACUGGCAAUCUAGAGUGUGUGAGAGGAUAGUGGAAUUCCAGGUGUAGGAGUGAAAUCCGGAGAUAUCUGGAGGAACAUCAGUGGCGAAGGCGACUAUCUGGCACAUAACUGACGCUGAGGAGCGAAAGCGUGGGGAGCAAACAGGAUUAGAUACCCUUGUAGUC
rnacentral:rRNA from 1 species